rnacentral:snRNA from 1 species
UGAUGUGAGGGUGGACUGGCUUCAGCUUCUGUCCCCUACUGAUCAUCAGGGUUGAUUCACCUGAUCUGGCUGGCUAGACAGUUGUCCCCUUCUUCCUUCACUGGUCCACUCAUUCUAAGAGGACUCUCGUCCCUGAUAGAAGAGCAUGAGUGUAUGACUACCUGCACUCCACUGCGAGAGAACCUUCAAAGAAGCCCAGAGCCUCCAACUGUCUUCACUCUAACCUAAGCAUUGAUUCACUCCUAGUGGACUAACUGGUAUUGGGUGUCUUGUGGU